ACCGCCCUGGGAGCAGCGCAGCUCCUCUGGUGCUCAGCUGUGUCUUUGUGAUGCCUACAGAAUGUUUCAAAUAUAUAUAGAAACAAAUAGGCAUUUAGUCAACAGGAUGGGGAAACACUGCUCUGAGUGUCUGUUAUGACAUGUACAAAGCAUCACCAUGGCCUGUACUGUGAUCACUACCAUAAAGCACAAUAAAAAGGCUUUAUUUGGACUGGAAUUUGCUGCAAUGUCCUCACAAGAACACGAAUGCUGUCCAGGGGGUGGGUUCUGCAUGUGAGUGGUGGGCAGCAGGCAAUCCUCCUUGACAGCUUUGCUAUUCCAAGCCACAAGUGGUGUCAUAUCCAGUGUGUCCUUUUUGUAGACAGCCAGAACCCAAACAUAUUAAAUAUUUUAUUUGGGAAAAAUAAAUAAAUACAGUAAUGAUUCCUGUGCUCUGCCCUCCUUUAACAGUGUUUAGAACUGGCUUUAGGAGAGAGCAAGUUCUAUCACUCUGAUCGGUUUCAUAAGAGGAA